rnacentral:rRNA from 1 species
GGGGAGCAAUCCCUGAGUAAAGUGGCGUACUGGUGAGUAACACGUGGAUAUCUACCUCUUGGUGGGGGAUAACCUGGGGAAACCUGGGCUAAUACCGCAUAAGUUCGUGAGAAGAAAGGCGCAAGUCGCCGAGAGAGGAGUCCGCGGUCGAUUAGGUAGUUGGCGGGGUAAGAGCCCACCAAGCCAAAGAUCGAUAGCCGGCCUGAGAGGGCACACGGCCACACUGGCACUGAAACACGGGCCAGACUCCUACGGGAGGCAGCAGUGGGGAAUCUUGCACAAUGGGGGAAACCCUGAUGCAGCGACGCCGCGUGAGCGAUGAAGCCCUUCGGGGUGUAAAGCUCUUUCGGCAGGAACGAUAAUGACGGUACCUGCAGAAGAAGCUGCGGCUAACUACGUGCCAGCAGCCGCGGUAAUACGUAGGCAGCAAGCGUUGUUCGGAAUUACUGGGCGUAAAGAGUGUGUAGGUGGUGUCGUAAGUUUGGUGUGAAAUCUCCCGGCUUAACUGGGAGGGUGCGCCGAAGACUGCGAUGCUGGAGUAUGGGAGAGGAAAGCGGAAUUCCUGGUGUAGCGGUGAAAUGCGUAGAUAUCAGGAGGAACACCUGCGGUGUAGACGGCUUUCUGGACCAUUACUGACACUGAGACACGAAAGCGUGGGUAGCAAACAGGAUUAGAUACCCUGGUAGUCCACGCCCUAAACGAUGCAUACUUUGGUGUGAGCCAUUCAGUUGGUUCGUGCCGGAGCU